rnacentral:rRNA from 1 species
GACGAACGCUGGCGGCGUGCUUAACACAUGCAAGUCGAACGGAAAGGCCCUGCUUUUGUGGGGUGCUCGAGUGGCGAACGGGUGAGUAACACGUGAGUAACCUGCCCUUGACUUUGGGAUAACUUCAGGAAACUGGGGCUAAUACCGGAUAGGAGCUCCUGCUGCACGGUGGGGGUUGGAAAGUUUCGGCGUUUGGGGAUGGACUCGCGGCUUAUCAGCUUGUUGGGGGGGUAGUGGCUUACCAAGGCUUUGACGGGUAGCCGGCCUUAGAGGGUGGCCGGCCACAUUGGGACUGAGAUACGGCCCAGAAUCCUACGGGAGGCAGCAGUGGGGAAUAUUGCACAAUGGGCGGAAGCCUGAUGCAGCAACGCCGCGUGCGGGAUGACGGCCUUCGGGUUGUAAACCGCUUUCGCCUGUGACGAAGCGUGAGUGACGGUAAUGGGUAAAGAAGCACCGGCUAACUACGUG